rnacentral:pre_miRNA from 1 species
GGAAGUUAAGAAACUGUUUCUUAACUUUUAACUAAAAAAACUAAGAACCGGUUCUUAAAGUCUUUAUUUAAGAACCAGUUCUUAGCUUUUUUAGUUAAAAGUUAAGAAACAGUUUCUUAACUUCC